AAAGAACUGACCAAUUUGAGGUUCCUCGAUGUAUGGAGUGCGAAUUUAAUUGGAGAUUUUCAGAACUUGCUUCCUCAAUUAAGGUGGCUUUGGUGGGAGAAUUGUCCCUCAGAUUUUGCCACGGUCAACUUUCAUCCGAAGAGAUUAGUCGUACUCGAUCUGUCAUAUAGUGAGAUUUCGGAGGAUUGGGGAGGAUGGGAUCCACUAAAGAUGGCAACUCAGCUCAAAGUUCUCGACCUCAGAUAUUGUCAAUCUUUGAGAAGAACUCCCGACUUGUCCGCUUUCAAAAGCUUGGAGAUUUUGAAUCUCAAAGAGUUGUGAAGAAUCUGGAAGAGAUUCAUCCUUCUGUUGGGGACAUCAAGACCCUCAACUCCUUGAAUGUCAAUGGUUGU